rnacentral:rRNA from 1 species
UAUGGUAAUUGCCGCCGCGGUAAUACGUAUGGAGCAAGCGUUAUCCGGAUUUACUGGGUGUAAAGGGAGUGUAGGUGGCCAGGCAAGUCAGAAGUGAAAGCCCGGGGCUCAACCCCGGGACUGCUUUUGAAACUGCAGGGCUAGAGUGCAGGAGGGGCAAGUGGAAUUCCUAGUGUAGCGGUGAAAUGCGUAGAUAUUAGGAGGAACACCAGUGGCGAAGGCGGCUUGCUGGACUGUAACUGACACUGAGGCUCGAAAGCGUGGGGAGCAAACAGG